AUGAGGCAGCUGGGGCUCCUCCUGUGCCUGCUGGCAGUCCCCCAGGGUGUCAGGUCCCAGGUGCAGCUGCAGGAGUCGGGCCUAGGAAUGGUGAAGCCCUCGCAGACCCUCUCCCUCAUCUGCACUGUCUCUGGAUUCUCUAUCACAACUAGUAGUUAUGGCUGGAUCUGGAUCCACCAGUCCCCAGUGAAGGGGCUGGAAUAUAUCGGGUACAUAACUGGUGGUGGAAGUACUUCCUACAGCCGGUCCCUCAAGAGCCGAGCCUCCAUCUCCAGAGACACAUCCACGAAUCAGUUCUCCCUGCAGCUGAGCUCCUUGAGCACCGAGGACUCAGCUGUGUAUUACUGUGCAAGAGACACA